rnacentral:rRNA from 1 species
UAGGGCUUCACACGUCAUACAAUGGUCGGGACAGAGGGUUGCCAACCCGCGAGGGGGGAGGCCAAUCUCAGAAACCCGAUCGUAGUCCGGAUUGCAGGCUGCAACUCGCCUGCAUGAAGUCGGAAUCGCUAGUAAUCGCGGAUCAGCAUGCCGCGGUGAAUACGUUCCCGGGUCUU